GUUUCAUUUACCUUCGUUGUAAGUUCCUCUCUAUCGCAUCUAGUGACUAAAGAAGAGAUGAUGACUUCAGUAUCAUUGCAAUCCUUUUUAAAAUUCUCUGCUAACUCGAUAAUUUUCUUUGCAAUUUCUUUAGGACUUGAAUAGCGUAUGUCGUUUGUGCCUGCAUGGAUAAUGAGCUUAUCGGGUUGCUUUCGUGCAGUGGGCUUUAAGAAAUCAGACAUAUCGUUAACUGUUGCACCUGAGAAAGACUUAACUAUUACGUUUCUGUCAGUGUUGGAUACUUCCCAACCUUUUACAUAUUUUAUAAUCGAAUCUCCAGCUAUAACGACAGUUUCUUUAGUGCGUUGUCUUUCUGCUGUUAUUUCCUCACUUGCCUUAUGCGCUUCUCUCGUUUGCUCGUUUUCCUUUGCCUUUUGUUCGUUAUUCUUCACCUUUUGUUUCUUAUUCUUAUUCUUCUUUUGUUCCUGGUUAAUCUGCUGUGACCUCUGCUUGUUGGCUUUCGAUUGAGCAGCUUUGUCAUCAGAUUCGCUCAUUUGAUUCUUACCAAAGCCCUUUUGUUGAAGGCUUAAUUUCUCUUUUGUUUUUGUCGUGUUAGGAAUUUCAGCAAAACAGCCAUGUUUUGGAUCUUUGCGUCGUUAAUUACAAA